UAUGACUAAACGACUACUAGAAUAUGUUUCGCCAUCUAGACAAAAGACAAAACAUCACUAGGAUAAAAUCAAGAUGGCUACCUGUCAAUGUACUUUGAAUACCGUAAAUACCGGCUAUGUGCAGUUGAUCGCCAAUUCUGGAUGAAAAUAAUUAAACUGGAUAAAGUGCUGUGGGACAGUGUUAUGUCAUAACCUWAGAAAAAUAAUUUUCUUAAUUAAAUCCGAGAAUGCAGAUGAAUUCSAGACGUUMKUUUUAUCAAAUUAUUAUAACAAAUACUAAUCAGCAUGCAGAUCUAUAUUUUUAAUUCCAAUCCAAGAACAUUAUACAUACUCAUGAAAAGAAGAAUUCAUUACACCAUUCGAUAAAUGGAUAUAUAUAAUUCAUUUUCUUACGACUAACGAUUAAAAGAUUUGCAUUGAUUAUGCCAUCCGAAUAAGAGUUUUAUUCUAUAAUAUUAUGUAAAUAGAAUGCAGCUGCAGUAACAAA